AGGACGAACGCUUGCGACGUGCCUAAGAAAUGCAAGUCGAACGGACAGUAGCAAUACUGUUAGUGGCGAACGGUCGCGUAACACGUGGGCAACCUGCCCCGAAGCGGGGGACAACAACUCGAAAGAGUUGCUAAUACCGCAUGUGAAUCGGUUCGGCAUCGAACAGGAUUCAAAGCCGCAAGGCACUUCGGGAUGGGCCCGCGGCCUAUCAGCUUGUUGGUGAGGUAACGGCUCACCAAGGCUUCGACGGGUAGCUGGUCUGAGAGGACGAUCAGCCGGAUUGGGACUGAGAUACGGCCCAGACUCCUACGGGGGGCAGCAAUUAGGAAUCUUGCGCAAUGGGCGAAAGCCUGACGCAGCGACGUCGCGUGAAGGAUGAAAUCUUUCGGGAUGUAAACUUCUUUUAACGGGAAGAAAAAAAUGACGGUACCCGUUAGAAUAAGCCCGGCUAACUACGUGCCAGCAGCCGC
rnacentral:rRNA from 1 species